AUACAAUCACAGCUACCUGUCGCGUUCGGCGUUAUAAUCAGUACACACCUGUUGAGCUGGCUGCGUUGAUUGACAAACCCAGGAGUUAAAGGCAGUGACAGAUUGAACACCGUCACAGGUCCUGGAGGUUUCCAACGUCGGCAGGGACGACGCGGGAUGGGAGUUGUGUGUCAGUCUAUGGUGAACCCCCGGGUGUGGGGAAAGCCUCGUUCAGGUACCACGAGAUUUAUGACGUAUGACAAUGGAUCGUAACUCCGUCGGCGUUGCAUUGUUUUACACACUGAACUGUUAGAUAAUAGUGCGAUAUAUGCUGUUCCGAGAUGAAAGAUGGUUCACAAGGCAAAGUAGAUCUGAACCUCUGGCUGACGAUGUCACCGACUUUUUGCAAGCAAUGAAAACUGACACGGCUUGUGUUAUCGUCGUUAAUAUGACGUCUUUAUUUGCUUUUGAGAUUGGCUUCUUGUAAAACUAGGAAUGUUGAAAGUGACGAAAAGAAGGAAUAGUGCGUGCGUAUCCAUCUGUUUUUGAAAAUAAAAAAUGCUUUACAAAUCGUC